rnacentral:lncRNA from 1 species
AUGCCCACGGCAGUGAGCACGCUGAGCCCGGAGAGGUGGGGGGCAGAGUGGUCACUGAACGGGGACCCUUGCCGGUCCCCUGCUCUCGGGUCUCCCGGGUACGGUGGGCCGGGGUGGGAGGCGCAGGCCCUGGCUCUUCAGUCCCUGUGGCCUGCGGGCAGCUGCUCACACCCAGAGGCUGGGCAGGGGCAGUGGCGGGGAGCUCCCGGGUCAGGGAGGGACACCGGGGCUCCCAGGGCCUCCCCACCCGCUAUGCUCGGGCUGGGCAGGGGCAGGGGGCUGGUGCAGAGGGCGGCAGGAGCCGCCCUUCCUCUGGGGGACAAGGUGUCAGGGACGGUGGGCGGCCCGGGCUCCAGGCCCUGUGACCCGAGCAAACGCAGCCCCUUGAGCACCCGCUUCCUGGCUCUGAAGGGUGGGCCUGCCCCCACUCCCUCUGCAAGCUGCGGGCCUGUCCCCAGUUGCCGGCAGGGACAAGUGAGGACGCUCGGGCGGACGACCCGGUCAGGGCGUCCCACUCCCCCGCCCCCGCCCCCAGGCCCUUCAGGCCACCGAGCGGGUGGGCACCCGGGCCUGCUGGGAGAGCUCGGCCCGUGGCUGAUGCUUUCCUUCUCCGCCGCUGAAACCUGCCCUAGGAGGUUGCACCUCUGCGCCCCGACACCCAUGGCUCCGGGUGCCCUUGGUCCAGGGCCACCUCGUCACCAUCCCCUUCUCAGGCCACACUCUCCUCCCUGCACCGCCAGGGGUCCCCCGGCCUCAGCCCUUUCACCCAGAGGGCCACCACUGAGGACGCCUGUAUUUGCGUGUGUCAUGCAGUGCACGGCCCCAGGGAACAUAACCUCGUGGAGCAGGGAGCAGAGUCCCCCGGGCCUCGCAGCAGACACCCGCGGAGCCCCACAUGGUGACGCCACAGCUCAGAGGUCCCACAAGGCUGGGGUUGGCAGAGGGCCGCCCGGGGCCCCGCAUCCCCUCGCAGGCGCACAGGGAGCAGAUUUCUGGAUCCGGUCUCUAACGCCAGCUUUCAGGGUGUGA